rnacentral:misc_RNA from 1 species
AGAGAUCGUGGGCUUGAUCGGGAUCGGGUCCGCAGCAGAGACAAGGAGAGAGAUCGUGGACGUGAACGUGAUCAUGAUUAUCCUCGGGAGAGGAAACGGGAUCGUGAACGAGAUUAUGCUGAUGGAAGGGAUGCGGAGUAUGGCCACAUUGAGCCAAUCCCUGCAAGACAGAAAUCAUAUGAUGAUUCCGUGAAGCACAGGCACGAUGAUGACUAUGAUCGUCAUCCAAAGCCGUAUGGUGACUAUGAUCUUAUCCAACCCCAAACUCUUGAUGAGGAUCUGCGUGACCAGGACCCAGUGAAGCGCCACAAGUCUGAUUAUAAUG